CUUUGUCAUAUGCUUGUCUCAAAGAUUAAGCCAUGCAUGUCUAAGUACAUACCUUUGCACGGUGAAACCGCGAAUGGCUCAUUAAAUCAGUUAUGGUUCCUUAGAUCGUUCAUAUUACAUGGAUAACUGUGGUAAUUCUAGAGCUAAUACAUGCAACAAGCUCCGACCUUUUGGGAAGAGCGCUUUUAUUAGACCAAAACCAAUGGGGUCGCAAGAUCCCUUUGUAUGGUGACUCUGGAUAACUUUGUGCUGAUCGCAUGGCCUCGAGCCGGCGACGUAUCUUUCAAGUGUCUGCCCUAUCAACUUUCGAUGGUAAGCGACUUGCCUACCAUGGUUGUAACGGGUAACGGGGAAUCAGGGUUCGAUUCCGGAGAGGGAGCAUGAGAAAUGGCUACCACAUCUACGGAAGGCAGCAGGCGCGCAAAUUACCCACUCCUAGAUCGGGGAGGUAGUGACGAAAAAUAACAAUACCGGACUCAAUGAGGCUCGGUAAUUGAAAUGAGUACAGUUUAAAACCCUUAACGAGGAUCUAUU
rnacentral:rRNA from 1 species